AGGACGAACGCUGGCGGCAUGCCUAACACAUGCAAGUCGAACGGAGUAAUGACUUCGGUUAUUACUUAGUGGCGAACGGGUGAGUAACACGUGAAUAAUCUGCCCUGUACGAUGGGAUAACAGCUGGAAACGGCUGCUAAUACCGUAUAUGACCACGCCGAGGCAUCUCGGAGGGGUGAAAGCGCUUAAGCGGUACAGGAUGAGUUCGCGUCCAAUUAGCUAGUUGGUGAGGUAACGGCCCACCAAGGCGACGAUUGGUAGCCGACCUGAGAGGGUGAUCGGCCACACUGGAACUGAGACACGGUCCAGACUCCUACGGGAGGCAGCAGUGGGGAAUAUUGGGCAAUGGAGGAAAAACCUCUUACCCAGCAAUGCCGCGUGAGUGAUGAAGGUCUUCGGAUUGUAAAGCCCUUUGAUUGGGGACGAAUAAAUGACGGUACCCAAGGAACAAGCCCCGGCUAACUAUGUGCCAGCCGCGGC
rnacentral:rRNA from 1 species